UAAUGCAGUCGAGCGAACUGAUUAGAAGCUUGCUUCUAUGACGUUAGCGGCGGACGGGUGAGUAACACGUGGGCAACCUGCCUGUAAGACUGGGAUAACUUCGGGAAACCGAAGCUAAUACCGGAUAGGAUCUUCUCCUUCAUGGGAGAUGAUUGAAAGAUGGUUUCGGCUAUCACUUACAGAUGGGCCCGCGGUGCAUUAGCUAGUUGGUGAGGUAACGGCUCACCAAGGCAACGAUGCAUAGCCGACCUGAGAGGGUGAUCGGCCACACUGGGACUGAGACACGGCCCAGACUCCUACGGGAGGCAGCAGUAGGGAAUCUUCCGCAAUGGACGAAAGUCUGACGGAGCAACGCCGCGUGAGUGAUGAAGGCUUUCGGGUCGUAAAACUCUGUUGUUAGGGAAGAACAAGUACAAGAGUAACUGCUUGUACCUUGACGGUACCUAACCAGAAAGCCACGGCUAACUACGUGCCAGCAGCCGCGGUAAUACGUAGGUGGCAAGCGUUAUCCGGAAUUAUUGGGCGUAAAGCGCGCGCAGGCGGUUUCUUAAGUCUGAUGUGAAAGCCCACGGCUCAACCGUGGAGGGUCAUUGGAAACUGGGGAACUUGAGUGCAGAAGAGAAAAGCGGAAUUCCACGUGUAGCGGUGAAAUGCGUAGAGAUGUGGAGGAACACCAGUGGCGAAGGCGGCUUUUUGGUCUGUAACUGACGCUGAGGCGCGAAAG
rnacentral:rRNA from 2 species